UACAGAGGGUGCGAGCGUUAAUCGGAAUUACUGGGCGUAAAGCGCGUGUAGGCGGCGAGGCAAGUCGGAUGUGAAAGCCCUGGGCUUAACCUAGGAAGUGCAUUCGAAACUGCCUGGCUGGAGUUCUGGAGAGGAAGGCGGAAUUCUCGGUGUAGAGGUGAAAUUCGUAGAUAUCGAGAGGAACACCGGUGGCGAAGGCGGCCUUCUGGACAGCAACUGACGCUGAGACGCGAAAGCGUGGGGAGCAAACAGG
rnacentral:rRNA from 1 species